rnacentral:rRNA from 1 species
AGAGUUUGAUCCUGGCUCAGAACGAACGCUGGCGGCAUGCCUAACACAUGCAAGUCGAACGAAGCCUUCGGGCUUAGUGGCGCACGGGUGCGUAACGCGUGGGAAUCUGCCCUUGGGUUCGGAAUAACAGUUAGAAAUGACUGCUAAUACCGGAUGAUGUCUUCGGACCAAAGAUUUAUCGCCCAAGGAUGAGCCCGCGUAGGAUUAGGUAGUUGGUGGGGUAAUGGCCCACCAAGCCGACGAUCCUUAGCUGGUCUGAGAGGAUGAUCAGCCACACUGGGACUGAGACACGGCCCAGACUCCUACGGGAGGCAGCAGUGGGGAAUAUGGGACAAUGGGCGAAAGCCUGAUCCAGCAAUGCCGCGUGAGUGAUGAAGGCCUUAGGGUUGUAAAGCUCUUUACCAGGGAUGAUAAUGACAGUACCUGGAGAAUAAGCUCCGGCUAACUCCGUG